GUGGUGGUGGUGGUGGCAGUGACCCUGGAGAGGCCCCCACACGUGCUGCUCCUGGGGAACUUCGCUCUGCACGGGGCCCACUCAGCUCUGCACCAGAGAUUGUGCACGAGGACUUGAAGAUGGGGUCUGAUGGGGAGAGUGACCAGGCUUCAGCCACAUCCUCGGAUGAGGUGCAGUCUCCAGUGAGAGUACGCAUGCGCAACCAUCCCCCACGCAAGAUCUCCACUGAGGACAUCAACAAGCGCCUAUCGCUACCAGCUGACAUCCGGCUACCUGAGGGCUACCUUGAGAAGCUGACCCUCAAUAGCCCCAUCUUUGACAAGCCACUCAGCCGCCGCC